GAGUUUGAUCCUGGCUCAGAACGAACGCUGGCGGCGUGCCUAACACAUGCAAGUCGAACGUGAUCCAGAGCUUGCUCUGGUGAAAGUGGCGCACGGGUGAGUAACGCGUGGAUAACCUACCCUGGUAUCCGGGAUAACAUUCCGAAAGGGGUGCUAAUACCGGAUAAGCCCACGGGCUCUUUGGAGCUUGCGGGAAAAGGUGGCCUCUAUUUAUAAGCUACUGUAUCAGGAUGGGUCCGCGUACCAUUAGCUAGUUGGCGGUGUAACGGACCACCAAGGCGACGAUGGUUAGCUGGUCUGAGAGGAUGAUCAGCCACACUGGAACUGAGACACGGUCCAGACUCCUACGGGAGGCGGCAGUGGGGAAUUUUGCGCAAUGGGGGAAACCCUGACGCAGCAACGCCGCGUGAGUGAUGAAGGCCUUUGGGUCGUAAAGCUCUGUCAGAGGGGAAGAAAUGAUAUAGUGCUAAUACCACUUUAUCUUGACGGUACCCUCAAAGGAAGCACCGGCUAACUCCGUGCCAGCAGCCGCGGUAAUAC
rnacentral:rRNA from 1 species